rnacentral:rRNA from 1 species
GUGGGGAAUUUUGGACAAUGGGCGCAAGCCUGAUCCAGCAAUGCCGCGUGCAGGAUGAAGGCCCUCGGGUUGUAAACUGCUUUUGUACGGAACGAAAAGCCUGGGGCUAAUAUCCCCGGGUCAUGACGGUACCGUAAGAAUAAGCACCGGCUAACUACGUGCCAGCAGCCGCGGUAAUACGUAGGGUGCAAGCGUUAAUCGGAAUUACUGGGCGUAAAGCGUGCGCAGGCGGUUUUGUAAGACAGUGGUGAAAUCCCCGGGCUCAACCUGGGAACUGCCAUUGUGACUGCAAGGCUAGAGUGCGGCAGAGGGGGAUGGAAUUCCGCGUGUAGCAGUGAAAUGCGUAGAUAUGCGGAGGAACACCGAUGGCGAAGGCAAUCCCCUGGGCCUGCACUGACGCUCAUGCACGAAAGCGUGGGGAGCAAACAGGAUUAGAUACCCGGGUAGUCC